UAGGGAAUCUUCGGCAAUGGGGGCAACCCUGACCGAGCAACGCCGCGUGAGUGAAGAAGGUUUUCGGAUCGUAAAGCUCUGUUGUAAGAGAAGAACGUGUGUGAGAGUGGAAAGUUCACACAGUGACGGUAACUUACCAGAAAGGGACGGCUAACUACGUGCCAGCAGCCGCGGUAAUACGUAGGUCCCGAGCGUUGUCCGGAUUUAUUGGGCGUAAAGCGAGCGCAGGCGGUUUAAUAAGUCUGAAGUUAAAGGCAGUGGCUUAACCAUUGUUCGCUUUGGAAACUGUUAAACUUGAGUGCAGAAGGGGAGAGUGGAAUUUCAUGUGUAGCGGUGAAAUGCCUAGAUAUAUGGGGGAACCCCGGUGGCGAAAGGGGCUCUCUGGUCUGUAACUGACGCUGAGGCUCGAAAGCGUGGGGAGCCAACAGG
rnacentral:rRNA from 1 species